GACGGAAGGUGCAAGCGUUGCUCGGAAUCACUGGGCGUAAAGGGUGCGUAGGCGGCCGUGCAAGUCUGGCGUGAAAGCCCCGGGCUCAGCCCGGGAAGUGCGCUCGAAACUGCGCGGCUCGAGUGCCGGAGGGGAGAGUGGAAUUCCUGGUGUAGAGGUGAAAUUCGUAGAUAUUCGCAAGAACACCAGUGGCGAAGGCGGCUCACUGGCCCGAUACUGACGCUGAGGCACGAAAGCGUGGGGAGCAAACAGG
rnacentral:rRNA from 1 species